rnacentral:snRNA from 9 species
AUACCUACCUGGCGUCGGGAUACCGUGAUCCUGCAGGCGGUUCCCUCGGGGUGCGGCUGCUCCAUUGCACUGCGGAGUGGUUGACCCUUGCAUUCUUUUUUUUAUUAUUAAAUUUCACUUCUACCGUGUGUGACUUGCACACACACACUUUUUUUUGUUAAAGGAAAACCUGCA